CUCAGCCACAGUCCCUGGAGGGUCAGGGGCCCAGCUGUGAGGCAGGCGGUGCCCAAGACGCUCUCUGGACCGCACUGCUUCAUCUGAGAGAAAGACUUUUGGAAGGCAUAGGUUGGGGCUCGCCUGGGAACCCCUCUCCAUCCCCCACCCAGACUCCAGCAGGCUGGAGUCAAGCUUGGCUGGGCAGCGGAGGAUCACUGGUGCACAGAGGGGUGAGUGGCUCCGCGUCUCCCCAAGCACCGCUCACCUGUGAGAUCACCGCCUGGCAGGGACGCCAGCACGGGCUCCC
rnacentral:lncRNA from 1 species